rnacentral:rRNA from 1 species
CCUACGGGAGGCAGCAGUGGGGAAUAUUGGACAAUGGGGGCAACCCUGAUCCAGCCAUGCCGCGUGUGUGAAGAAGGCUUUCGGGUUGUAAAGCACUUUCAGUGAGGAGGAAAACUCUGCGACUAAUACUCGUAGGGCUUGACGUUACUCACAGAAGAAGCACCGGCUAACUCCGUGCCAGCAGCCGCGGUAAU